rnacentral:rRNA from 1 species
CCUUUGACGUUAGCGGCGGACGGGUGAGUAACACGUGGGUAACCUACCUAUAAGACUGGGAUAACUUCGGGAAACCGGAGCUAAUACCGGAUAAUAUUUCGAACCGCAUGGUUCGAUAGUGAAAGAUGGUUUUGCUAUCACUUAUAGAUGGACCCGCGCCGUAUUAGCUAGUUGGUAAGGUAACGGCUUACCAAGGCGACGAUACGCAGCCGACCUGAGAGGGUGAUCGGCCACACUGGAACUGGGACACGGUCCAGACUCCUACGGGAGGCAGCAGCC